GGGUCCUUAGCUCAAUGGUAGAGCAAUCGACUUUUAAUCGAUUGGUCGAGAGUUCAAAUCUCUCAGGACCCACCA
rnacentral:tRNA from 1 species